rnacentral:snRNA from 1 species
GUGCUCGCUUCGGCAGCACAUAUGCUAAAAUUGGAACGAUACAGAGAAGAUUAGCAUGGCCCCUGUGCAAGGAUGACAGGCAAAUUCGUGAAGCGUUCCAUAUUUUU